rnacentral:rRNA from 1 species
UACAGAGGUCUCGAGCGUUAGGCGGAAUUACUGGGCGUAAAGCGUGCGCAGGCGGCGCGUUAAGACAGGUGUGAAAGCCCCGAGCUUAACUUGGGAAUUGCGCUUGUGUCUGGCGUGCUGGAGUGUGGCAGAGGGAGGUGGAAUUCCACGUGUAGCAGUGAAAUGCGUAGAGAUGUGGAGGAACACCGAUGGCGAAGGCAGCCUCCUGGCCUGUUCUUGACGCUGAGGCGCGAAAGCUAGGGGAGCAAACGGG